GACGAACGCUGGCGGCGUGCCUAAUACAUGCAAGUCGAGCGAGACUCUUUUGAGUCUAGCGGCGGACGGGUGAGUAACACGUGGGCAACCCGCCUGUAAGACUGGGAUAACACCGGGAAACCGGUGCUAAUACCGGAUAAUCCUUUUCCUCUCAUGAGGAAAAGCUGAAAGUCGGUUUCGGCUGACACUUACAGAUGGGCCCGCGGCGCAUUAGCUAGUUGGUGAGGUAACGGCUCACCAAGGCGACGAUGCGUAGCCGACCUGAGAGGGUGAUCGGCCACACUGGGACUGAGACACGGCCCAGACUCCUACGGGAGGCAGCAGUAGGGAAUCUUCCACAAUGGACGAAAGUCUGAUGGAGCAACGCCGCGUGAGCGAUGAAGGCCUUCGGGUCGUAAAGCUCUGUAGUUAGGGAAGAACAAGUACCGGAGUAACUGCCGGUACCUUGACGGUACCUAACCAGAAAGCCACGGCUAACUACGUGCCAGCCGCCGCAGUAA
rnacentral:rRNA from 1 species